CGGCGGGGGAAAGGCGGCGCGGCAGCAGCAGACGCAGCACCCGCCGCCGGCCCUGCAGAGACCCUGGGAGAAGCUGCGCCUGGAGGAGCGCGAGGCGGAGAAGGAGGCGAGGAAAGUCAGCAAGAGCAUCGACCGGGCGCUCAAAGAGCAGAAGCGGGAGUACAAGCAGACGCACCGCCUGCUGCUACUGGGCAAUAGCAUUUUGACAGUUUCUUCAAGGAGGCUGCAUUCCUAUAAAGGGCAACAGGGAAGCUCUUCUCAGCCAUUGAUUCCGUCUAAUUGUCCAAUUGGUCUUCAGAAACUGCAGCAAAGGGAAACCUUCCCUCUGUGAUUUGGCUUAGCUCAUACAAUGGUGUUACAAAGCAAGAUGGAAAAUAUCUGUAAUAACAAUCUGACAGUAAAUUGAGUCCCCAUUCUCUGCUGAUACCGCUUUUCCAGCCCCUCUUCUUUGCUUAUUUGAGAAAUGCAUACUUUUUGAUGCAUGUAAUAUAACCUGUAUUUAAUUUCUGUCAUGUGA
rnacentral:lncRNA from 1 species